rnacentral:lncRNA from 1 species
GCCUGUGGACGGAUUGUCAUCAUAUGUUGAGUACCUCUCGACAUCCCAUCUGUCGGAUGAAAUCGGCGAUACAGUAUCCAGAGGCUCCAGGGCCUCCCUACUUGUCCCAACAAUCCUUACAGAAGAAGGAGAUGUAUUCAUCAGGUUAGUGCAUCCGUUGACUUGCCCCAAUGAAACAUCGCCUACUUUUGAAUCACACAACAUCGACAUGAUGUAAGCAGCAGCUGAUGCUACAGUGGGGUAGUCAAAGAAGAGCGUUGCAGGAAGGACGUGGCCAAAUUUUUCUCCUAUUGUGGCCCUAAGAUCAACGGCGCUGAGCGAGUCAAGACCAGUGUGCAUUAUAGGUAAAUUGGGGUCUACCUCGUCUUUGCCAAGUAGAGUAGCCAACUCCUCAUGAACCAGAGUACAGAUUUCAGCCUCAGAUGGAAAAUAUUUGGGAUUCGUAUCAUCU